rnacentral:rRNA from 1 species
UGGGGAAUUUUGGACAAUGGGCGAAAGCCUGAUCCAGCCAUGCCGCGUGAGUGAAGAAGGCCUUCGGGUUGUAAAGCUCUUUCAGCCGGAAAGAAAUCGCACAGGCUAAUACUUUGUGUGGAUGACGGUACCGGAAGAAGAAGCACCGGCUAACUACGUGCCAGCAGCCGCGGUAAUACGUAGGGUGCGAGCGUUAAUCGGAAUUACUGGGCGUAAAGCGUGCGCAGGCGGUUAUGUAAGACAGAUGUGAAAUCCCCGGGCUCAACCGGGGAACUGCGUUUGUGACUGCAUAACUAGAGUACGGCAGAGGGAGGUGGAAUUCCGCGUGUAGCAGUGAAAUGCGUAGAUAUGCGGAGGAACACCGAUGGCGAAGGCAGCCUCCUGGGCCAGUACUGACGCUCAUGCACGAAAGCGUGGGGAGCAAACA